GACGGAGGAUGCAAGUGUUAUCCGGAAUCACUGGGCGUAAAGCGUCCGCAGGUGGCACUUCAAGUCUGUCGUCAAAGACCGGGGCUUAACCCUGGAAAGGCGAUGGAAACUGAAAGGCUAGAGAGAGGUAGGGGUAGAGGGAAUUCCCAGUGUAACGGUGAAAUGCGUAGAGAUUGGGAAGAACAUCGGUGGCGAAAGCGCUCUACUGGACCGCAUCUGACACUCAGGGACGAAAGCUAGGGGAGCGAAUGGG
rnacentral:rRNA from 1 species